rnacentral:tRNA from 1 species
AUAAGGUGUCUGAUAAAAGUGAUAAAUUGUAAAUUUAUUUAUAGAAUUAUUUUCUCUUUAUUA